rnacentral:rRNA from 1 species
CCUACGGGAGACAGCAGUGAGGAAUAUUGGUCAAUGGACGAGAGUCUGAACCAGCCAAGUAGCGUGAAGGAUGACUGCCCUAUGGGUUGUAAACUUCUUUUAUAUGGGAAUAAAAUGUUCCACGUGUGGGAUUUUGUAUGUACCAUAUGAAUAAGGAUCGGCUAACUCCGUGCCAGCAGCCGCGGUAAUACGGAGGAUCCGAGCGUUAUCCGGAUUUAUUGGGUUUAAAGGGAUCGUAGGUGGAUUGUUAAGUCAGUUGUGAAAGUUUGCGGCUCAACCGUAAAAUUGCAGUUGAAACUGGCAGUCUUGAGUACAGUAGAGGUGAGCGGAAUUCGUGGUGUAGCGGUGAAAUGCUUAGAUAUCACGAAGAACUCCGAUUGCGAAGGCAGUUCACUGGACUGCAACUGACACUGAGGCUCGAAAGUGUGGGUAUCAAACAGGAUUAGAUACCCUUGUAGUC